rnacentral:rRNA from 1 species
CCUACGGGAGGCAGCAGUGAGGAAUAUUGGUCAAUGGACGAGAGUCUGAACCAGCCAAGUAGCGUGAAGGAUGACUGCCCUAUGGGCUGUAAACUUCUUUUAUAAAGGAAUAAAACGAGGCACGUGUGCCUUUUUCCAUGUACUUUAUGAAUAAGGAUCGGCUAACUACGUGCCAGCAGCCGCGGUAAUACGGAGGAUCCGAGCGUUAUCCGGAUUUAUUGGGUUUAAAGGGAGCGUAGAUGGGUUGUUAAGUCAGUUUUGAAAGUUUGCGGCUCAACCGUAAAAUUGCAAUUGAUACUGGCAGUCUUGAGUACAGUUGAGGUAGGCGGAAUUCGUGGUGUAGCGGUGAAAUGCCUAGAUAUCACGAAGAACCCCGAUUGCGAAGGCAGCUUACUAAACUGUGACUGACAUUGAUGCUCGAAAGUGUGGGUAUCAAACAGGAUUAGAUACCCCAGUAGUC